UCUUGAAAUUCAAAGAAUUUGGCGGUAUCUUAGUCUUGUUAGAGGAACCUGUUUUAUAAAUGAUACUACACGCAAUAUCUUACUAAUUUUUGUUUGACAGCUUGUAUACCGUCAUUAUUAGAUAACUUUUAUAGAGUUAGUUAUUAUAAUUAGGGAUUUAAGUAUAUUAGAUCAAGGUGCAGCUUAUAAAUUAGAAAAAAUGGGUUACAAUAAAAUUUAUUUAGUACGGAUUAAUAUCUGAAAUUGAUAUUGUGAAGGAGGAUUUAAUGGUAAUUAGGAAUUUAAUAAGUUUAUGUGAUAAAAGUACUAAGUUAUGUACAUAUCGCCCGUCGCU
rnacentral:rRNA from 1 species